CCUACGGGUGACAACAGUGGGGGAUAUUGCACAAUGGGGGGAACCCUGAUGCAGCGACGCCGCGUGGGUGAAGGAGUGCUUCGGCAUGUAAAGCCCUAUCGGCAGGGAAGAAGCAAGAUGGUACCUGACUAAGAAGCCACGGCUAACUACGUGCCAGCAGCCGCGGUAAUACGUAGGGGGCGAGCGUUAUCCGGAUUCACUGGGUGUAAAGGGAGCGUAGACGGCCAAGCAAGCCAGGGGGGAAAGCCCCGGGGCCAACCCCGGCACUGCCCUUGAAACUGCAUGGCUGGAGUGCGGGAGGGGCAGGCGGAAUGCCUGGUGUAGCGGGGAAAUGCGUAGAUAUCAGGAGGAACACCGGCGGCGAAGGCGGCCUGCUGGACCGCGACUGACGUUGAGGCUCGAAAGCGUGGGGAGCGAACAGGAUUAGAUACCCUAGUAGUC
rnacentral:rRNA from 1 species